GGGGUUAUAGCUCAGUGGUAAAGCGUGUGGUUAGCCUGCACGAGGUCCUGGGUACAAUCCCCAGUACCUCCA
rnacentral:tRNA from 1 species